GUCAGGUACGGUUUCAAAACUUAAACAGGAACUUCUUUCUUUGCCGGUUUCUCCGGACCAACAGAACUUUGCAAUCUUCCCAAGAACACCUUAAGAGAACGACAAUCUAUUUCAGAAUCUACUGAAUCUGGCCUAACGGAUUUGCGACUUCUGGCCACGAGGCAUUGGUGUGUUUGGCAUCACCAAAACUACUGCAGAACAACUCAUGGAGGAGAAAGAAAAGGAGCUGAGAGAUGCCGCCGGGCGAGGUGAGGAGGUCAGAGUUUAGCAGCUCCUAGCCGAGGGGGUCAAUGUCAAUGCUGAUGAUGGUAACAACACCUCCAGAUGGACUGCCCUUCAUAAUGCAUCUUCGAACGGCCACACUGGAAUUGUAGAAGCUUUACUCACAGCUGGAGCAACAGUUGACCCAAGAAAU